rnacentral:rRNA from 1 species
UACAGAGGGGGCAAGCGUUGUUCGGAAUUACUGGGCGUAAAGGGCGCGUAGGCGGCCACCGCAAGUCAGUUGUGAAAUCUCUGGGCUUAACCCAGAAAGGUCAACUGAUACUGCGGGGCUAGAGUGCAGAAGGGGCAACUGGAAUUCUCGGUGUAGCGGUGAAAUGCGUAGAUAUCGAGAGGAACACCUGCGGCGAAGGCAGCUCGCUGGGACGUUACUGACACUGAGGCGCGAAAGCGUGGGGAGCGAACAGG